CUAGCCGGAGUUUUUAGCCGUGCCUUUUGGAGAUGGCAGCAUAAGUACAUGCAGCCAAAGCGCACUGGCAUUGCGCCCUUCUUCCAAGUUAUCGUCGGAGGAAUGGUGUUCUUCUACACUAUUAACUACGGCAAGUUGAAGCACCACCGAAACUACAA
rfam:Anopheles sinensis unplaced genomic scaffold AS2_scf7180000695974, whole genome shotgun sequence.